AGCGAACGCUGGCGGCAGGCUUAACACAUGCAAGUCGAGCGCCCCGCAAGGGGAGCGGCAGACGGGAGACUAACACGUGGGAACAUACCUUUCGGUUCGGAACAACUGAGGGAAACUUCAGCUAAUACCGGAUAAGCCCUUACGGGGAAAGAUUUAUCGCCGAAAGAUUGGCCCGCGUCUGAUUAGCUAGUUGGUGAGGUAACGGCUCACCAAGGCGACGAUCAGUAGCUGGUCUGAGAGGAUGAUCAGCCUCACUGGGACUGAGACACGGCCCAGACUCCUACGGGAAGCAGCAGUGGGGAAUAUUGGACAAUGGGGGCAACCCUGAUCCAGCCAUGCCGCGUGAGUGAUGAAGGCCUUAGGGUUGUAAAGCUCUUUUGCCCGGGAAGAUAAUGACGGUACCGGGAGAAUAAGCCCCGGCUAACUUCGUG
rnacentral:rRNA from 1 species